GUGAAUCAUCGAAUUUUUGAACGCAAAUUGCACUCUCCUCGGAGAGUAUGCCUGUUUGAGGGUCAGCCUAUAAAAAUCGACAUCGUUGCUGUUUCGCGGUGGCGUUCGUCGGAAAUUGGGUCAUCUUAAAUCCUUUUGGUUUUUAAGCGACUUAAAUUUUUUUUUUUGUUUCAUGGACGGUUUUAAAAUUUAUUUUCUUACACCUUUAAGGGUA
rnacentral:misc_RNA from 1 species